UGGGGAAUAUUGCACAAUGGGCGCAAGCCUGAUGCAGCCAUGCCGCGUGUGUGAAGAAGGCCUUCGGGUUGUAAAGCACUUUCAGCGAGGAGGAAGGUGGUGAACUUAAUACGUUCAUCAAUUGACGUUACUCGCAGAAGAAGCACCGGCUAACUCCGUGCCAGCAGCCGCGGUAAUACGGAGGGUGCAAGCGUUAAUCGGAAUUACUGGGCGUAAAGCGCACGCAGGCGGUUUGUUAAGUCAGAUGUGAAAUCCCCGGGCUCAACCUGGGAACUGCAUUUGAAACUGGCAAGCUAGAGUCUCGUAGAGGGGGGUAGAAUUCCAGGUGUAGCGGUGAAAUGCGUAGAGAUCUGGAGGAAUACCGGUGGCGAAGGCGGCCCCCUGGACGAAGACUGACGCUCAGGUGCGAAAGCGUGGGGAGCAAACAGGAUUAGAUACCCCUGGUAGGUCCACGCUGUAAACGAUGUCGAUUUGGAGGUUGUGCCCUUGAGGCGUGGCUUCCGGAGCUAACGCGUUAAAUCGACCGCCUGGGGGAG
rnacentral:rRNA from 1 species